rnacentral:pre_miRNA from 1 species
AAUGUUUGAUGCCGUUGACUUUUUAGCACAUGUUUGACCGUUCGUCUUAUUCAAAAAAAUUUUAAGUAAUUAUUAAUUCUUUUCCUAUCAUUUGAUUCAUUGUUAAAUAUAUUUUUAUGUAGACAUAUAAUUUUACAUAUUUCAAAAAAAAAUUUGAAUAAGACGAAUGGUCAAACAUGUGCUAAAAAGUCAACGGUGUCAAACAUU